UACGUAGGGUGCAAGCGUUAAUCGGAAUUACUGGGCGUAAAGCGUGCGCAGGCGGUCGUGCAAGACAGAUGUGAAAUCCCCGGGCUCAACCUGGGAACUGCAUUUGUGACUGCACGACUGGAGUGCGGCAGAGGGGGAUGGAAUUCCGCGUGUAGCAGUGAAAUGCGUAGAUAUGCGGAGGAACACCGAUGGCGAAGGCAAUCCCCUGGGCCUGCACUGACGCUCAUGCACGAAAGCGUGGGGAGCAAACAGGAUUAGAAACCCUAGUAGUCC
rnacentral:rRNA from 1 species